AUUACGAAUAAAAGUGAUGGUGCGUUUGGUAAGAGUGUAAGGUCUGCAAGUGCAAGGUUCCGAGUUCGAAUCCCACUUACUAACAUUUUUCCAUUUUUAUUUGAUUUCUAACUUUAGUAUUAAUUUUAUUUUCAUUUAUAUUCAAAAAUCAAAAAAUAAGUUUUUUAAUAAUUUAAUUUUAAUUUUCGUAUUUAUUAAUUAAGCUUUUUUAAAAAAUAUUUAUUUUCACUUUUUUUCUAUUUUUAUGUUUUUAUAGUCACAAAAAUUCAAAAAAUAAUAAAAGUAGUAAUUUUUGCUUAAUUUUAGAUCCAAGACAAUUAACAUUAAAGUUUUUGAUUUGAUUUUUUCUAUCAUUAGAAAAAAUCAAAACAAAUAUUUAAGUUGUUAAUUUGGUCAUUUAAUUGUGAUUUUAUUUUUAUUAAUUCCCUAUUUAGUUUACCCUAUUUUUUUUUACUAUAUAAAUAGUACCAAACCUAUUCCAUGGGGGGACGACUCUCGACCGACAAUUUCAACCCUUCUUUUUCGAACCCUACUUUUUCUACCCAGUAAAUAAACCCUUGCGCGUAUAUUUUACCAACACCAAUUUUCUUCAAACUAACCCUUAUACUAUAUAGACUUUUUCACCUCUUUCACUUUCAAGGAAUUUUUCUUACAUACCAUUCACGAAUUCACCCUUAUCAGUCCACUCACAAUUUUCACUACCACUAAAACAACCAAGAACACAUCAUGUAAUAUGAACCUUUACAACAGAAUCCAGAUCAUUCUUUUCAAAAAAAAACUUUACCAAGAACAUCACAACAACACCAUAAUCUCACCAACAUCACAAGAUUCAAAGCCUGACAGUUAACACUCUAUUAUCAUUGAUUUAGCUAUUAAUCCAUCUUCAUGUUGGUGUUAUUCUGCCUUGAUAUUUCGUUGCAGGUUCAUGAACCACCGAAUCGAUUGUAAUCUACAAAAGCAUAACGUAACAACGUGUCCGUCCUCAAAACGAUUCCGAUCCGUGAACACUCGAAGCAUCGCACAAGCAACAACAACGCGACGCCAUCCCAAAUUCAAAUCGGUAAUCGUUUCCCUCAAUUUCAUUUUCGGUUGACUGUGAAUCAUUCUCUUGUUUUUGAUUUCAUGUUGAUUUUUGAAUUUGAUUGUGAAACUGUGUUGGAUUGUUGCAAGAGACUUGAACUUUUAUUGUUGUUGUUUUCAUCGAGCGAGAGAGAUAGAUUUAGCAGAGAGACAAGAUGAAGAACCUGUACAGACAAGUAACAAAAAAGCUUCGACGAAGACCGAAACACAGGGAUCACCGUUCGAAUUCCCCGUCGACUACCCUCCGGAUUUGAAGCACCGACAGAUCCACCGGACGUCCACCGUGACAACUCCAUGCACCACCAUAAUCUGCAGAUCCAGUAACUAAUGUCGGCGAAGCUUAAUCCAUGGUAUUUUCUCAGCUUCAACGAUUCUUGUUGUUCAUUAAUAAUGUCUUUUGGUGAGUUUACUCUACUUUUGUGUUGCUGGAACUUACUAAAAGAAUGAGAGGUGGCGUCAUUUUUUUUCAAUGUAUUUUGUCUUUGGUUGCAGUAACAAUGAUAUGUGGUAAUACUAACAAUUCUCAUACUAACUUUUUUUUUACUUAAAAAAUAUAUACGUGGCAAUAAAAAGAAAAGUACAAACUUAUUUUAGUUACUUUUUAUAAUAGUUUCAAAAAUUCUUAGGAUUAUUAGAUUUUAGUUUUAUAUUAGUUUCAAAAAUAUCAAAACAUUUUAUUUAGUUAUAUUUAUUAGAUUAUAUUUCUCAUAUAAAAAAUACCAAAAAUAUUUUGUUUCAUGUAUUAAUUUAGUUUUUUUUUUUUUUGUUUUGUUUGUUUAAUUUUCGAUUAACAAUAUGUUCAUAUGUUUCCACUACUCAUAUAUUCUUUUAUACACUGUUACUACCACUUUCUUGUUUUUGCGAGGUACUACCAUCGUGAGCAUUGGACUGCUUUGCAGACAUUCAUAGCUUAUGCAUGCGCGGAUUAAUCCAACGUUUCAGAGGCUGCAGUCCCAUGGUGGACCUUCAAGAGUCGACCGCACCUAAUUCACCUAAUUCUAGCGUUCAGGGUUACCCCCAGAGUUCCUCCGACUACAAACCAUAUCAGAUCAAAUUAAAAGCUAAGUCCUAUUUCAUAUUUAUUUUAAAUAUUCAUUCUAUUUUAUUUUGUUUCUUCCCUCCAAAUUAGAGUUAGCCUUAAUUGUCGUUGAAUUAGCCAUACACUCACUGUAUUUUAUUCUUCUGUCAAUUCUCAGAUGGUCAGAGUCAAUGCUUCAGGCUACCUCCGACUAUAAACCUUCGUCAAUCGAAGCUAAGUUUCUUUUACCCUUUUUCUUUUAUUGUUAUUUUAUUAAUUAGGGUUAACUAUGAUUGCCUCUGAACCGAUAAUGCACUCACCCAUUUUUCUGUUUAUUCUUUCUUUCCCAAUCUUCAGGGUUUGUCAAUUGCCAAAGCUACGAGUAUCGCAUCAUGGAUCCUGAACGAUCUGUCAAAAAUCUCCAAGCUCAGAAUGUUGAAUUCCAAGCUUUGAUCCUUAACUUGGCCAAGGGGCAAGAAGAAUUAAAGGCACUUCUGAUCGAGAAGGGGAAGAAUCAACAUAAGCAUCAAGGUGGUCAAGAUAAUCAGAGAUCCAAGCCUAAGAGGUCCUUUACUCCAUUACAUAUACCGCUGUCUCAAGUUCUCCAACAACUGCUCAAUCAGAAUUUGAUAACUCUACUACCUCCAUAUUCAUUUCCUACCAACCCCACUCCUGGGUAUAAGUACCAUGCGAGAUGUGCUUAUCAUUCGAAUAGUCCUAGUCAUGAUACAAAGGAUUGUUGGCAAUUAAAGCACAAGAUUCAAGACUUAAUUGAUGAAAAGAUCAUUGACUUCAACUCACCUGAAGAACCUCACAUGACUAAGGCUGUGUACAAUCGGAAAGGUCGCAAUGAACACAAUCAAUCUGUGGGGGCAUUUCUGAUCUCUACACCAAUUCCACAACAAAGGCGCAAGUCAGAGGUACCUAAACGACAGUUCACAAAGAUCAACAUGACUUUGGCUGAAGCAUUACAACAGAUGUUGAAGAAAGGGCUAAUUACUUUGAGGGAUCCUCCUGUGAAGCCCAACAUUUUCGCUCCUAGCUAUAAGCCUAAUGCGAGGUGCGCGUAUCACUCCAAUAGCCCUGGACAUGAUACGAAUGAUUGUUGGCCAUUAAAGAACAAGAUUCAAGACAUGAUCGAUGCUGGUGAAAUUGAAUUCCCUCAUCCCAAGACUCCUGUAAUAAUCACUGCUCCCAUGCACAAUCACGACAAGACUGAUUAAUGUUAGAGUGGAUGAACUUUAGAUCAUUAGAUUUACUUUCAUUUGCAAUUUCUAUUCUGUUUGUUUAAACAUUCAAAAUUAUGAUAGACAUUAUCUGUCUUAAUAAUCAUCAUCAGUGCAUUGCAUAUGUUUGUCUUGAAUAAAUUAUUUCGUUAUCACUCAUUUUAAAUUAUGUUUUUACUUUGCAUGUGUUUUGUGAUAUUCAACUCCCGCUAAAGUUGUAAGUCUUUUAAGGGAGGAUGACGAAAACGAUACCGCAACCUCAUACAGUAUGCUUUUGAGCGGACUAUGCUGACGAUGUACAGGUAUUGUUUCGAUUCCUAAACAGCGGAGAUAUAAGGAUGUUAAUCCCUCGUCAACCCCCUUUGAGCCUAAGAAGUAGAAGUUUCUUUUUUUUGUAUUGAAACCCUUGAUCAUAACCUGGGGCAGGGUAGUUCUCAGUUUAAUUUGGCUGUGCAUUCUAUUUUAAGAGAAUCACUCAGUACACCUUUCAACAAGGAUUUCAAUCACAAGCAUUCAUCCGCACACAUCAAAGGAGUGUUGGAGAUGUCAACGAAAAGACAAUGAUGGUUCAUCAAUCAUCAAACAAGGCAGUCAAUAUCUUUCAAAAAGAAAAAUGAUGGAAAAAACAUAUAUACAAAGAAAAGCCUGCUAAAUCAAAAAUCAAAAGAUGACUUAGGCAAAAAUCAAGGCAUCCCGCUGACUGCAAUCUCAAAAUAGACAGUUCAGGCAAAAGUUAGGGAUAUCAAAAAGAUGAAAAAGAGAAGUCAAUAAAUUCCUGAACAACACAAUGUUGUGACUACCAAAAGGAAGAAGUGACUGCCAUCUCAAAGGCUCUCUUAGCUUACAAACCAUCAUCGUUAUCAAAAGCGCAAAUCCAAAAGUCUCUUGGAACCUGAAUGCAUAAGUUGAGUUGACUGAGCUUAGGACUGAAGAUCAUCACGAAGAGGGGUGGGUACAAUCAAAUUUUGAGCCAUUAUCCUUUGUUUCUUAAACCGUGAACCAAGCCACGUUACAACCCUUAAAAGUCCUAAUUGAAGCAUGGUUAGUUCGAAAGCAUACUGUCACAAAAAAAGGUAUCCUGACUCCUUAAGGUUUACCACAAAUGCUGAGUUGACACUUCGUUUUUUUACAAACAUCACGUUUUUAUAAAACAUCAUGCUUUUACAUAUCCAAUUUUAAUGUUUUUCAACAAACUCAAGACAAACGUAUGCAGUGCAUCUCAUGAAUACAUUAUUAAACAUAUUCUGCUACAUAAUUUCAAAUGUUAGCAACAGAAAGAAUUUGCACAGGGUACAACUAAUGAUUGAAAGUUAUCCCGACAGACAAAAUUACUCCAAGGAAGCCCUGUCUCUUACGUAUACAAGGGGCAUGACAUGUUUUCGUCCAAUCAAUCUGGGGCAAUCAAGUCAAGAUUCUGAGAAUCUCUCAUGGAUGCUCGAACAAUCAGGGGCAUGCAUCCAAGUAUAUCUAAAACUACUCCCCAAUCAACGUGAGAUAUUGUCAUGAGCCUAUGAUUACUGGGGGCAUAUCGCCCAUAGUAAACAUCUCAUAAAGUCCUCGCGAGGCGAAUCUUUCCAAAGUUCCUGCUAACUGGGGCAAAUCUAUGCAAGUCCAAAUUCAACAUCUUGAUCAAUACUCAGUGGCGUGUCCUGAACCAAGUAGUAAGUUACUAUGAUACUGGGGGCAACUUUCAAGACACCCAUGUCUCCCCACAGAGCCAGGUUCACAAAACCACCUCCCCGCAGAGUAAUCAUUAAGAAGACAUCUUUAAACAUAUUCGUCUCAACAAAGACAUGACUCCCCAACAGAGUUUACAUCUUCCGCAUUACCGGUCAUCCAAUAUGUUGCUCUUCUCCAACAUGGUUUAUCUCUAAAAACAGGGUACAUCAAACUACUAAUCAUCCCCAAGUAGAAACCAUAAAUCACCAGCUGAGCAUCUUCAAGACAAGAUCCGACAAUAAAAUCACAAGGAUAUAGAGAUUUAUUUUCUCAAUCAGGACAACAUAAAUCAUAUUCGCAUAUCAUAUGUCAUAAACAUAUUCAUACAAUUGCAUACACGUUCAUACAUAAUACAUAAAACAGCGCGACAAUUGCAUACAUAACAUACGAGGUCCUCAUUUAUUUUGAGAAUCCCGUCACACAAACACAUUGCAUGCAUCAUGACAUGGCAUAAAGAAAACUAACCUCUACUUUUCAGGAUACCACUAUCUCCAUUUACAAGAGUUAAGUCGACACCUUUGACAGUUCCUUAACGACCUUUCAGAAUUAAGUCGAUACCUUUGACGGUUCCUUAAUAAUCCAUUUCAAAGUUAAGUCGACACCUUUGACGGUUCCUUAACGACCUUUCAGAAUUAAGUCGAUACCUUUGACGGUUCCUUAAUGAUCAACAUUUCAGAUAUAAGUCGAUACCUUUGACGGUUCCUUAUACAAUCUAUCUACAUAUCUGAGUCGAUACCUUUGACGGUGCCUCAAUGAUAUGCUUCAGAGUUAAGUCGAUACCUUUGACGGUUCCUUAACAACCCACAUCAAGAGUUAAGUCGACACCUUUGACGGUUCCUUAACGACAUACUUCAGAUAUAAGUCGACACCUUUGACGAUUCCUUAUACAAUCUAUCCGCAUAUCUGAGUCGAUACCUUUGACGGUGCCUCAACAAUAUGCUUCGAAUUUAAGUCGAUACCUUUGACGGUGCCUCAACAAUAUGCUUCGAAUUUAAGUCGAUACCUUUGACGGUUCCUCAACAUUCAAAAGAGGGAAGACAGCAAAAGCAGAAAUUGUGUAACAAUCUAUACUCCAACAACUAUCAGAUGGCAUCUACAAGCCCAUCUCCGACAAAAGUCCCUACUUCAAAUAGGGCAAAUUUCUUGGUAUUCUAGUGUUCAAUCAUCUUCCACUUUCAGAUACCGACUGGCAUACAAACCACUCUACAUCUUCAGGUUUAAGAUAAUUGAACAGGGGCAGCUGUCAUACCCAAAAAUUUGCCCUCAUAUAUUUAUGAAGGCCACUUUAUUACGAAUAAAAGUGAUGGUGCGUUUGGUAAGAGUGUAAGGUCUGCAAGUGCAAGGUUCCGAGUUCGAAUCCCACUUACUAACAUUUUUCCAUUUUUAUUUGAUUUCUAACUUUAGUAUUAAUUUUAUUUUCAUUUAUAUUCAAAAAUCAAAAAAUAAGUUUUUUAAUAAUUUAAUUUUAAUUUUCGUAUUUAUUAAUUAAGCUUUUUUAAAAAAUAUUUAUUUUCACUUUUUUUCUAUUUUUAUGUUUUUAUAGUCACAAAAAUUCAAAAAAUAAUAAAAGUAGUAAUUUUUGCUUAAUUUUAGAUCCAAGACAAUUAACAUUAAAGUUUUUGAUUUGAUUUUUUCUAUCAUUAGAAAAAAUCAAAACAAAUAUUUAAGUUGUUAAUUUGGUCAUUUAAUUGUGAUUUUAUUUUUAUUAAUUCCCUAUUUAGUUUACCCUAUUUUUUUUUACUAUAUAAAUAGUACCAAACCUAUUCCAUGGGGGGACGACUCUCGACCGACAAUUUCAACCCUUCUUUUUCGAACCCUACUUUUUCUACCCAGUAAAUAAACCCUUGCGCGUAUAUUUUACCAACACCAAUUUUCUUCAAACUAACCCUUAUACUAUAUAGACUUUUUCACCUCUUUCACUUUCAAGGAAUUUUUCUUACAUACCAUUCACGAAUUCACCCUUAUCAGUCCACUCACAAUUUUCACUACCACUAAAACAACCAAGAACACAUCAUGUAAUAUGAACCUUUACAACAGAAUCCAGAUCAUUCUUUUCAAAAAAAAACUUUACCAAGAACAUCACAACAACACCAUAAUCUCACCAACAUCACAAGAUUCAAAGCCUGACAGUUAACACUCUAUUAUCAUUGAUUUAGCUAUUAAUCCAUCUUCAUGUUGGUGUUAUUCUGCCUUGAUAUUUCGUUGCAGGUUCAUGAACCACCGAAUCGAUUGUAAUCUACAAAAGCAUAACGUAACAACGUGUCCGUCCUCAAAACGAUUCCGAUCCGUGAACACUCGAAGCAUCGCACAAGCAACAACAACGCGACGCCAUCCCAAAUUCAAAUCGGUAAUCGUUUCCCUCAAUUUCAUUUUCGGUUGACUGUGAAUCAUUCUCUUGUUUUUGAUUUCAUGUUGAUUUUUGAAUUUGAUUGUGAAACUGUGUUGGAUUGUUGCAAGAGACUUGAACUUUUAUUGUUGUUGUUUUCAUCGAGCGAGAGAGAUAGAUUUAGCAGAGAGACAAGAUGAAGAACCUGUACAGACAAGUAACAAAAAAGCUUCGACGAAGACCGAAACACAGGGAUCACCGUUCGAAUUCCCCGUCGACUACCCUCCGGAUUUGAAGCACCGACAGAUCCACCGGACGUCCACCGUGACAACUCCAUGCACCACCAUAAUCUGCAGAUCCAGUAACUAAUGUCGGCGAAGCUUAAUCCAUGGUAUUUUCUCAGCUUCAACGAUUCUUGUUGUUCAUUAAUAAUGUCUUUUGGUGAGUUUACUCUACUUUUGUGUUGCUGGAACUUACUAAAAGAAUGAGAGGUGGCGUCAUUUUUUUUCAAUGUAUUUUGUCUUUGGUUGCAGUAACAAUGAUAUGUGGUAAUACUAACAAUUCUCAUACUAACUUUUUUUUUACUUAAAAAAUAUAUACGUGGCAAUAAAAAGAAAAGUACAAACUUAUUUUAGUUACUUUUUAUAAUAGUUUCAAAAAUUCUUAGGAUUAUUAGAUUUUAGUUUUAUAUUAGUUUCAAAAAUAUCAAAACAUUUUAUUUAGUUAUAUUUAUUAGAUUAUAUUUCUCAUAUAAAAAAUACCAAAAAUAUUUUGUUUCAUGUAUUAAUUUAGUUUUUUUUUUUUUUGUUUUGUUUGUUUAAUUUUCGAUUAACAAUAUGUUCAUAUGUUUCCACUACUCAUAUAUUCUUUUAUACACUGUUACUACCACUUUCUUGUUUUUGCGAGGUACUACCAUCGUGAGCAUUGGACUGCUUUGCAGACAUUCAUAGCUUAUGCAUGCGCGGAUUAAUCCAACGUUUCAGAGGCUGCAGUCCCAUGGUGGACCUUCAAGAGUCGACCGCACCUAAUUCACCUAAUUCUAGCGUUCAGGGUUACCCCCAGAGUUCCUCCGACUACAAACCAUAUCAGAUCAAAUUAAAAGCUAAGUCCUAUUUCAUAUUUAUUUUAAAUAUUCAUUCUAUUUUAUUUUGUUUCUUCCCUCCAAAUUAGAGUUAGCCUUAAUUGUCGUUGAAUUAGCCAUACACUCACUGUAUUUUAUUCUUCUGUCAAUUCUCAGAUGGUCAGAGUCAAUGCUUCAGGCUACCUCCGACUAUAAACCUUCGUCAAUCGAAGCUAAGUUUCUUUUACCCUUUUUCUUUUAUUGUUAUUUUAUUAAUUAGGGUUAACUAUGAUUGCCUCUGAACCGAUAAUGCACUCACCCAUUUUUCUGUUUAUUCUUUCUUUCCCAAUCUUCAGGGUUUGUCAAUUGCCAAAGCUACGAGUAUCGGUAACCCUAAACUCUAAUAUUUUCUGUUUUAAUUUUUAAUUAUAUCCCGCUGGUUUCAAUUCCCCUCUCCUCCGCUGGUUACAAUUUCCCUUCCCCAUUAUUAUUGUUAUAUUAUUGUGUGGUUAGUAAUCUUAGGGAGUGCAAGCCUUAAAUCAAUGUAGAUAAUUAAUUAUAAGAUAAUUUUCUGAAUAUAAUCACGUGAUUGGUGCACACACGCACGCUUUUGGGUAACCUCUCUGUUGCCUGUUGCCUUGUGUUUUUUGCAGAAUAAGCUAUGUCCCUCGAAUUUGAGGAUACCUCAGCCAUGCUGCCUCGAUAAUAAAAGGUCAUGCGACCCUAAAUGAUGCUGCCUUCGAUACACAAUUAUGACCCCGACCCUCGGAUGUUGCCUACGGAAAAUGGCUGAGGUAUCUUCUGGUUGCCUAACGGAAAAAUGGCUUAUUCUGAUCCUUGCCUCAGACUACCUGCCCUUCUAUGGCAUGGGACAGUUUUAUGGCAAAGGAUGCUUCGACGACCCUUCAACCUCCAAACGAAAGGCUUCCUGCCCUCUUAUGGCAAGGAUAGACCCUUUCAUUCUGAAAGGCUAAAAAGAGACCUAUCAUCUGAGUUUAAGGUAAUUGCCCCUAAUUGCCUUGCAAUGCUCAUCUUUAAUAUUCUUUCUCACAAUUCUUCGAAAACUGGCUACGCUCAUUUACGAGCUAAAGUCCACUUUUUUCUUUCAUCUACCUUUUUUUAAAAAAACAAACGAGCAAGCAAAGCAAUUAAGAGCCCAUGGAAAACCAUGGAUGCAAAGGGUGCCUUACACCUUCCCUUUGCAUAAAUUACCCCCCGAACUUAGAUUUCUUUAAAAAGGUUUUUUUCUGUUUCUUUUUGCCUUUCCGAAUUUGUUUGGAUAAAAUAAAAGUCGGUGGCGACUCUUGCUUACCGCGACAUUUCGA